UAACGGCAAGCUAGUGAGCUGGUACUCCUCCCCAUGCUUUGAGGAAAAGAUGAACCAACAUGGCUGACUAAUAGAAGAAACUAUGUCAGAGGCAGAUUUUGAGCUUUUAACCACAAGGUAAGAUACAGUUUCAUUUGGCCCAGAAGUGAACAGUGAGAGAGCCAAGAAGAAUCCAACAUUGAAACUGUUUGAAAACACUGCUUUUGGAUAGAAUGCACUUCCUUCUAUGACAAGUAAAGAGUAAGCGGGAAAAAAAAUUAAUAUCACACCUGUGGGAGACAAAUAGUCAGUGUAAAGAAAACAACUGUAUCCUGAGAACUAAAAGAAAAGCAUACCUCUGGAAAUUACUCUAUAGGAGAGUCCAAGACAUUUUUGCAUCCUUGGAGUAGAACCAAGUCAAUGGGCAGAGAAUAUAGAGGAUAUUGAAGAGAAACAACUGCAAAGAAACAGAACUUGUAAUGUCAGAAAUGUCUGUCUGAGAGAUAGUAAAUCAUGGACUUGACAAGUGAAAUCAACAAACUUAAGACCAAACUUCAGAAACUGCAAGAAUGCAGUAAGAAAGGAUAAAGAGAGUGAGAAAACCCUAAAAGGAAAAUGACCAAUAUGGAAAAGAGAGAAUAAAGACUCAGUAAAAAAUUCUGGAUACUUUUUAUGGAAGGAAAUAAGAGAUCCAUUUCAUUAACGAUUAUUGGUAGAAAAAUCACACAUGAAAACCUUAAUAAAUUGUGCUCCCAGAGCAUCAAUUCCUUAGUUAGUAAACUUCCAAAUUCUCAAUCCAAAUCUAAAUUAAGAGUUUUUUGGAGGCCGAUUAUGAUAAAAUACUAAAAAAUUUUAUUAAAAAAUUCAAAAUAAGAUUUGGAUAGAUAUUUCUGGUCAGAAGAUUGGAUGCUCCAAGAUAUACAUUCUUCCUAUAUUAUGCUGUAAUUUAAAUAAUUUUAAUAAAAAUCCUAAUGGCAUGGGCUAAAGGGAAGCCUGAAAAAGCGAAUCUAACAUUUAUCUGGAAGCAGAAAUGGUGCAAGUAUCCAAGAUAUUUUUUAGAGUUAUUAUAAUAGACUGUAAUCAAAACAGCAUGAUGAUAGUAAAACUGAUAGGCAAAGAAUGAAGAGAAGAUGUCCCGGCACAAUUUAAUGAUUCUUUCUCUGCUAAUUUUAAAUGCCAAAUUUAAUCAUAAACUCACCCCUCUACAUAUACCAAAGUCUAUUUUUGGAAGAAGUGGUUAACCAUUUGAAAUAAAGUUGGCAUCAUUUCUCAAAGCAUAUGCCACAAUACAGAGGCCAAAAGGACUAAAUAGUUAAACACACAAAAAGAAGCCAAAAUAAAAUGUCGAUGGAUAUAUCUCUGAUCUUGAGCUUGGUUUAGUGUGUCUACAUAUAAUGAGACGGGGAAAAUUUUAUUCACCACAAUUCCAUUGAUGAAUGGAACUCAUUUGUUGGAGAAAGUUCA